CCUGAAUCUAAGACGAGACCAACGACUGAUUAAGGUUUGAGUCUUUACAGCAGGAGAAACGGGCGACUAGACGGGGCCGCCGGGGGCCGAUCUGCCGGCAGAUUCUGGGUUUCUAUAACUAUUUGGGGGAAAUAAAAGCAGUCCAGAGCAUAAAUCCUG